rnacentral:tRNA from 1 species
GAUUAAAUGGCUGAUAAUAGGCAAUAAAUUGUAAAUUUAUGUAUAAGAAAUUAAAUUCUUUUUAAUCA